rnacentral:rRNA from 1 species
UACGUAGGGUGCAAGCGUUGUCCGGAAUUAUUGGGCGUAAAGAGCUCGUAGGCGGCUUGUCGCGUCGGCUGUGAAAACCUGGGGCUCAACCCCGGGCCUGCAGCCGAUACGGGCAAGCUAGAAUUCGGUAGGGGAGACUGGAAUUCCUGGUGUAGCGGUGAAAUGCGCAGAUAUCAGGAGGAACACUGGUGGCGAAGGCGGAUCUCUGGGCCACUACUGACGCUGAGAAGCGAAAGCAUGGGGAGCGAACAGG